AGAACUGCCACAGUGGCCUGCUUCUAGUUCUCAAGGCAACCACUGUCCAGUGUUAGUGUCACAGUUGCAUCACCAAGGUGAAGCACCCAGCCAUUCUCAGAGUGAUUUCUCCAUUCAAGAAG
rnacentral:lncRNA from 1 species